rnacentral:rRNA from 1 species
GACAGAGGGUGCAAACGUUGUUCGGAAUUACUGGGCGUAAAGAGCGUGUAGGCGGCCAAGCAGGUCCGUUGUGAAAACUGGAGGCUUAACCUCCAGACGUCGACGGAAACCGCGUGGCUAGAGUCCGGAAGAGGAGAGUGGAAUUCCUGGUGUAGCGGUGAAAUGCGCAGAUAUCAGGAAGAACACCAAUGGCGAAGGCAGCUCUCUGGGACGGUACUGACGCUGAGACGCGAAAGCGUGGGGAGCGAACAGG